rnacentral:rRNA from 1 species
GUCCGCACAGUAAACGAUGAAUACUAACUGUUUGCGAUAUAUAGUAAGUGGUAAAGCGAAAGCGUUAAGUAUUCCACCUGGGGAGUACGCCGGCAACGGUGAAACUCAAAGGAAUUGACGGGGCCCGCACAAGCGGAGGAACAUGUGGUUUAAUUCGAUGAUACGCGAGGAACCUUACCCGGGCUUGAAUUGCAUUUGAAUGUCGUGGAAACAUGGCAGCUAGCAAUAGCAAAUGUGAAGGUGCUGCAUGGUUGUCGU